rnacentral:rRNA from 1 species
GAUGAACGCUGGCGGCGUGCCUAAUACAUGCAAGUCGAGCGAACAGACGAGGAGCUUGCUCCUCUGACGUUAGCGGCGGACGGGUGAGUAACACGUGGAUAACCUACCUAUAAGACUGGGAUAACUUCGGGAAACCGGCGCUAAUCCCGGAUAAUAUAUUGAACCGCAUGGGUCAAUAGUGAAAGACGGUUUUGCUGUCACUUAUCGAUGGAUCCGCGCCGCAUUAGCUAGUUGGUAAGGUAACGGCUUACCAAGGCGACGAUGCGUAGCCGACCUGAGAGGGUGAUCGGCCACACUGGAACUUAGACACGGUCCAGACUCCUACGGGAGGCAGCAGAAGGGAAUCUUCCGCAACGGGCGAAAGCCUUACGGAGCAACGCCGCGUGAGUGAUGAAGGCCCUCGGAGCGUAAUACUCUGUUAUUAGGUAAGAACAAAUGUGGAAGUAACUAUGCACGGCGUGACGGUACCUAAUCAGAAAGCCACGGCUAACUACGUG